rnacentral:rRNA from 1 species
GACGAACGCUGGCGGCGUGCCUAAUACAUGCAAGUAGAACGCUGAAGGAGGAGCUUGCUUCUCUGGAUGAGUUGCGAACGGGUGAGUAACGCGUAGGUAACCUGCCUGGUAGCGGGGGAUAACUAUUGGAAACGAUAGCUAAUACCGCAUAAUAGUAGAUGUCGCAUGACAUUUGCUUAAAAGGUGCAAUUGCAUCACUACCAGAUGGACCUGCGUUGUAUUAGCUAGUUGGUGAGGUAACGGCUCACCAAGGCAACGAUACAUAGCCGACCUGAGAGGGUGAUCGGCCACACUGGGACUGAGACACGGCCCAGACUCCUACGGGAGGCAGCAGUAGGGAAUCUUCGGCAAUGGACGGAAGGCUGACCGAGCAACGCCGCGGGAGUGAAGAAGGGUGUCGGAUCGUAAAGCUCUGUUGUAAGAGAAGAACGAGUGUGAGAGUGGAAAGUUCACACUGUGACGGUAUCUUACCAGAAAGGGACGGCUAACUACGUG